rnacentral:rRNA from 1 species
GAUGAACGCUGGCGGCGUGCCUAAUACAUGCAAGUCGAGCGAACGGACGAGAAGCUUGCUUUUCUGAUGUUAGCGGCGGACGGGUGAGUAACACGUGGAUAACCUACCUAUAAGACUGGGAUAACUUCGGGAAACCGGAGCUAAUACCGGAUAAUAUUUUGAACCGCAUGGUUCAAAAGUGAAAGACGGUCUUGCUGUCACUUAUAGAUGGAUCCGCGCUGCAUUAGCUAGUUGGUAAGGUAACGGCUUACCAAGGCAACGAUGCAUAGCCGACCUGAGAGGGUGAUCGGCCACCCUGGAACUGAGACACGGUCAAGACUCCUAGGGGAGGCAGCAGGAGGGAAUCUUCCGCAAGGGGCGAAAGCCUGCCGGAGCAACCCCGGGUGAGUGAAGAAGGGCUUCGGAUCGUAAAACUCUGUUUUGAGGGAAAAAAAUAUGUGUAAGUAACGGUGCAAAUUUGGACGGUACCUAAUCAAAAAGCCCCGGCAAACUACGU